rnacentral:rRNA from 1 species
GGGCUGCAGUGGGGAAUUUUGGACAAUGGGGGCAACCCUGAUCCAGCCAUGCCGCGUGCGGGAAGAAGGCCUUCGGGUUGUAAACCGCUUUUGUCAGGGAAGAAACGCUCUGAGUUAAUACCUCGGGGUAAUGACGGUACCUGAAGAAUAAGCACCGGCUAACUACGUGCCAGCAGCCGCGGUAAUACGUAGGGUGCAAGCGUUAAUCGGAAUUACUGGGCGUAAAGCGUGCGCAGGCGGUCGUGCAAGACAGAUGUGAAAUCCCCGGGCUUAACCUGGGAACUGCAUUUGUGACUGUACGGCUGGAGUGCGGCAGAGGGGGAUGGAAUUCCGCGUGUAGCAGUGAAAUGCGUAGAUAUGCGGAGGAACACCGAUGGCGAAGGCAAUCCCCUGGGCCUGCACUGACGCUCAUGCACGAAAGCGUGGGGAGCAAACAGGAUUAGAUACCCUAGUAGUC